UUAAUAUCGGCACUGCUUUCCAUCGGUGGAGACAGCUGAUGGACUUGAAAGAAAUGAAGUUCGACUCCGAACUUGCAACAUUUCUUCUGGAUUGGUAAGUAAGAUGCUGUUAGUAUUUUGCUAGAAGUUUGUUUUGUUUGCGUAUUUUUUUCGGGAACUUAUAACAUAGAAAUGUAUUGAAGGCUGUUCGAUAAACGUGCUAAUGUUAGCGAUGGCUAACCGUAGCUGCGUUUGAUAAUUAGCUAGAUCCGAUCCGGUUUUCACCUGUUAUCUACCAAGCUGAUGCUAAAAUGCAACAUUACCUAAGAAGCUUGAAAUGUCUUCGAUGAUAAUGAACCCGAGAUAGAGAGAGCGGGAGUGUGCCUGGCUUGUCUCAAGUCCUACUUUGCCCAUGUUUCCUCACAGGCAUGUUUUACUGUGAACUAGAUUCAUUAGUCAUUAUCAUGACUAAUUGAAAAGUUCACAUUUCUGCCACAGACCGUAAUGUCACAUUACCUUUUUAUUCUUAGGUUGAACACAAAAAAAUGAGUGGACCUGUUACAGAGACAAGCAUACCUCAGAAAAGCCCAGCAAGGGCUCGGCAGGUGUGGAAGAAUUGGCCAGGCUUGAGUGCAGGUAAGUCAUAAUUUGCACUGUGAUUGCAGUUUCUUCUAAGAGCUUUUCAGUGUUACUACUUUCUGAUUUUGUGUUAAUUUAAUAUUCUAUCUUAUAUAAUGCUGUUUCUAAGCCUUGGUGAAAUGAGCAUUGGUGCAGAGGAACAUCUGGAUGAACAAGCCAUAAAUUAUUUGAGGAAUAGCACGUGAGUAUUUUGAUCAACAGAGUUGAUGUUGUAUCUGAAGAAGUUUAUCUCAGUGUAUAUUAUUGACUGUUUUGUCUCCUCAGGAUUGACUGGGCAGUUAACCCUCCACCUGUAAAGGCAUCAGAUACUGAUGAUGAGGAGCAGGACAGCUCUGAUGAAGAGUACAUCCCUCCACUUUCUCUUCGGUUGGGUGGAGCUUUACCAAAUGUUCCAAAUUUUGAUGCGCUGCCAGUAAUCGGUUUGGAAGAGACUGUACACGACCUCACUGCAGAUUUUGAGUCCGAACCAUCUACAGAUCCUGACAGCUCCACUGCCUCACCAGCUGAUUCAAAUGUGCCAACUCUACAGAAGGCAGAGGACAUUGUUGGUGCCAAGGCAUCGAUUGUGUAUGAUGACUGCUUGAAGUACCUUGCGGCCUUUGUUACACCACCAGUGAAACAGUGCACAGCAAUAAAUGUGACCGGUGCAACAUGCCAACACCAUCCACCAUUCCUGGUAAACCUCAAAGGGAAAGGCACUGCAAGCAUGUUAGAAUGGGUAUGUGACACUUUUGUUAUGACCAUAACUAUGUGAAUGUACACUUCAAAUGGACACGAACAUGUACCCUUACCUCCAAAUGUUUUUAUGAAAAAGUUAACCGGUACAAAAACUACUAUAGCUGUUAUAUAAGUCUAUUUGUUCUUAUGAUUAGAGCUGUGCUGAUGGACACAUUGUGUGGCGAUGGGUUUCACAGCCCUUGAUGAAGUAUGGACUCCAGGCUGAAAAGUAGUGUCAGGUUUUCCUGUUUGACCAAUCAAUCAAGCAUAAUUACAAGUAAAUGUUUUGUAUGUUUUAGGACCUGAUUUACAGUUGAGUUCACCCCAUUGAAGCCAGAAUUGCAGCAUCCAGUGUACGCAUAGGUGAGUAAAAUGCACUCUUGUCAGGUUGCUUCAUUUUUGUCUGACAUGCAAAAGGCAAUGACAAUAUGAUUGCAAUACAUUUUACAACUUCUUACAACUGUUCAUUUCCACUUGUCACAGUAAAAGCCUCCGGCAGAGAGAAGGAUUGGGACCAAUGGCACACCCACCAACAUUAACACUGUCCAUGAAAAUAUGAAAAUAUCUUACUUUGUCUAGGAUUUAAUUUUAAUUCCUGUAAUGUUUUUUACAG
ensembl:lncRNA